GAUGAACGCUGGCGGCGUGCCUAAUACAUGCAAGUCGAGCGAACGGACGAGAAGCUUGCUUCUCUGAUGUUAGCGGCGGACGGGUGAGUAACACGUGGAUAACCUACCUAUAAGACUGGGAUAACUUCGGGAAACCGGAGCUAAUACCGGAUAAUAUUUUGAACCGCAUGGUUCAAAAGUGAAAGACGGUCUUGCUGUCACUUAUAGAUGGAUCCGCGCUGCAUUAGCUAGUUGGUAAGGUAACGGCUUACCAAGGCAACGAUGCAUAGCCGACCUGAGAGGGUGAUCGGCCACACUGGAACUGAGACACGGUCCAAACUCCUACGGGAGGCAGCAGUAGGGAAUCUUCCGCAAUGGGCGAAAGCCUAACGGAGCAACGCCGCGUGAGUGGUGAAGGUCUUCGGAUCGUAAAACUCUGUUAUUAGGUAAGAACAUAUGUGUAAGUAACUGUGCACAUCUUGACGGUACCUAAUCAGAAAGCCACGGCUAACUACGUG
rnacentral:rRNA from 1 species